rnacentral:rRNA from 1 species
AGCCGAUGAUCAGAUGGCUCAAAUCCGUAGAGAUAGAAGGAAUACCGAUUGCGAAGGCGAUCUACUGGAACAUUAUUGACGCUCAGAUGCGAAAGCGUGGGGAGCAAACAGGAUUAGAUACCCUGGUAGUCCACGCCCUAAACGAUGCACACUAGUUGUUGCCUUGCUAGACAAGGCAGUAAUGCAGUUAACACAGUAAGUGUGCCGCCUGGGGAGUACGGUCGCAAGAUUAAAACUCAAAGGAAUAGACGGGGACCCGCACAAGCGGUGGAGCAUGUGGUUUAAUUCGACGAUACGCGAAGAACCUUACCUGGCCUUGACAUAGAAAGAACUUACUAGAGAUAGUUUGGUGCUAGCUUGCUAGAACUUUCAUACAGGUGCUGCACGGCUGUCGUCAGCUCGUGUCGUGAGAUGUUGGGUUAAGUCCCGCAACGAGCGCAACCCUCGUGUUUAGUUACUAACAGUUCGGCUGAGGACUCUAGACAGACUGCCUACGCAAGUAGGAGGAAGGUGAGGACGACGUCAAGUCAUCAUGGCCCUUACGGCCAGGGCUACACACGUGCUACAAUGGGGCAUACAAAGAGCCGCAAUACGGUGACGUGGAGCAAAUCUCAUAAAAUGCCUCCCAGUUCGGAUUGUAGUCUGCAACUCGACUACAUGAAGUUGGAAUCGCUAGUAAUCGUAGAUCAGCUAUGCUACGGUGAAUACGUUCCCGGGUCUUGUACUCACCGCCCGUCACACCAUGGGAGUUGAUUUCAUUCGAAGCGGGGAUGCUAAAAUAGCUACCUUCCACAGUGGAAUUAGCGACUAGGGUGAAGUCGUAACAAGGUAACCGUAGGAGAACCUGCGGUUG